rnacentral:lncRNA from 1 species
UAAAGAAAAAUAAACACACAUAUAUCAAUUUUGACAAAGGAAGAAUCAAGUGACAUACAGACAAAAUAGUAAAGAAUGUAAUGAGAGAAUUGUCUUUCUCUGGGGAAAAACGUCAGUUGGUUGCCAGAACUCGAGGAGGAAGUACCCAAAGGUUUGCCAUCGUAGGCCACCAACUCAUCAGUCGUCUCGCUUCUCUCUCUGAAGUCUCACAUCUUGAUUGGUUUCCAAAACGACUCGAGGAAAUGAAUAUUACUCCAGGAGUAAGAAAUCUUCACCUGCUCUUCAUUUUCAAGAAAGUGUGUGUUCCUUUUGUUUUAUGAACUAAAGAUUGUGCCAUUGGACUAAAGACUUACAAGUUUGUGUUGUACAUUGCAUCAAAGAAUAGCCAACCAUUAUAUAUACAGAUAUUUAAACAGGUAUUUGUCCUCUAUUGAGGAAAAAUGUAUUUGUUU